GGGGUUAUGGGGUAACUUGGUUAGCCUCCGAGGUUUGGGACCUUGAGAUCCCGGUUCAAAUCCGGGUAACCCCA
rnacentral:tRNA from 1 species